UACGAAGGGGGCGAGCGUUGUUCGGAAUCACUGGGCUUAAAGGGCGCGUAGGCGGGCCGCCAAGUCCGGGGUGAAAUCCUCCAGCUCAACUGGAGAACUGCCUCGGAUACUGGAGGUCUCGAGGGAGAUAGGGGCACGCGGAACUGUGGGUGGGGCGGUGAAAUGCGUUGAUAUCCAUAGGAACUCCGGUGGCGAAGGCGGCGUGCUGGAUCUCUUCUGACGCUGAGGCGCGAAAGCCAGGGGAUCAAACGUG
rnacentral:rRNA from 1 species